rnacentral:rRNA from 1 species
GUGGGGAAUAUUGGACAAUGGGCGAAAGCCUGAUCCAGCCAUGCCGCGUGUGUGAAGAAGGUCUUCGGAUUGUAAAGCACUUUAAGUUGGGAGGAAGGGCAGUAAGUUAAUACCUUGCUGUUUUGACGUUACCGACAGAAUAAGCACCGGCUAACUUCGUGCCAGCAGCCGCGGUAAUACGAAGGGUGCAAGCGUUAAUCGGAAUUACUGGGCGUAAAGCCCGCGUAGGUGGUUUUGUAAGUUGGAGGUGAAAUCCCCGGGCUCAAGCUGGGAACUGCCUCCAAAACUGCAUGACUAGAGUACGGUAGAGGGUAGUGGAAUUUCCUGUGUAGCGGUGAAAUGCGUAGAUAUAGGAAGGAACACCAGUGGCGAAGGCGACUACCUGGACUGAUACUGACACUGAGGUGCGAAAGCGUGGGGAGCAAACAGGAUUAGAAACCCUUGUAGUCC